CCGGACUGCGGGGGCAGGGGCGGCCGGGGCCUCUGGACAUUCGUCUUCUUUCCGACCUCCUGCACCUCUCUGCUCCUUCAUGAAAUUGCUGUGCGAGAAAAUGGAUUUUCUGAGUGUGCUGCUUCUUUUCUUCUCGGCAGUGGCUGUGAGCAGAGCUCAGGUGCAGCAGGAGCCGGCGGCAGAGACCACCGAGGGCACCGGCAUCAACAUCACCUGCUCACACACCAGUACACUGGCCAACAACAUCUAUUGGUACCGCCAGCUCCCGGGCCAAGGACCCGCAUUCCUCGUCAGCGCCGUUAGAGGCUCCAAGCAGGUGCCGGACCCGGAGGGGCAGGUGUUUGUGUCGGCAGACCGCCGCUUCAGCUCCCUGUGGCUCGCCCGGCCCCGGCUCGGCGACGCGGCCGUGUAUUACUGCGCCGUGGACCCACGGGGAGCGAAGCCGGGGCUGCGGCCGGGCACGAACCGCUUUGGGCGGGGCGGGGGCACAGUACC